rnacentral:rRNA from 1 species
UACGUAGGGUGCAAGCGUUGUCCGGAAUUAUUGGGCGUAAAGAGCUCGUAGGCGGUCUGUCGCGUCGGAUGUGAAAACCCAGGGCUCAACCCUGGGCCUGCAUUCGAUACGGGCAGACUAGAAUUCGGUAGGGGAGUCUGGAAUUCCUGGUGUAGCGGUGAAAUGCGCAGAUAUCAGGAGGAACACCGGUGGCGAAGGCGGGACUCUGGGCAGUAACUGACGCUGAGGAGCGAAAGCGUGGGGAGCGAACAGG